GAUGAACGCUGGCUACAGGCUUAACACAUGCAAGUCGAGGGGAAACGACGGGGAAGCUUGCUUCCCCGGGCGUCGACCGGCGCACGGGUGAGUAACGCGUAUCCAACCUGCCUCUGACUGAGGGAUAACCCGUCGAAAGUCGGCCUAAUACCUCAUGGCAUCGUCUGCGGGCAUCCAACGACGAUUAAAGAUUUCAUCGGUCAGGGAUGGGGUUGCGUCUGAUUAGCUAGUUGGCGGGGUAACGGCCCACCAAGGCGACGAUCAGGAGGGGUUCUGGGAGGCAGGCCCCCCACAUUGGAACUGAGGCACGGUCCAAACUCGUACGGGAGGCAGCAGUGAGGAAUAUUGGUCAAUGGGCGAGAGCCUGAACCAGCCAAGUAGCGUGCAGGAUGACGGCCCUAUGGGUUGUAAACUGCUUUUAUGCGGGGAUAAAGUGAGGGACGUGUCCUUCAUUGCAGGUACCGCAUGAAUAAGGACCGGCUAAUUCCGUG
rnacentral:rRNA from 1 species